rnacentral:rRNA from 1 species
UGCCAGCCGCCGCGGUAAUACGAAGGGUGCAAGCGUUACUCGGAACUACUGGGCGUAAAGCGUGCGUAGGUGGUUCGUUAAGUCUGCCGUGAAAGCCCCGGGCUCAACCUGGGAAUGGCGGUGGAUACUGGCGGACUAGAGUGCGGUAGAGGGUGGUGGAAUUCCCGGUGUAGCAGUGAAAUGCGUAGAGAUCGGGAGGAACAUCUGUGGCGAAGGCGGCCACCUGGACCAGCACUGACACUGAGGCACGAAAGCGUGGGGAGCAAACAGGAUUAGAUACCCUGGUAGUCCACG